UAGGGAAUCUUCGGCAAUGGACGGAAGUCUGACCGAGCAACGCCGCGUGAGUGAAGAAGGUUUUCGGAUCGUAAAGCUCUGUUGUUAGAGAAGAACGUUGGUAGGAGUGGAAAAUCUACCAAGUGACGGUAACUAACCAGAAAGGGACGGCUAACUACGUGCAAGCAGCCGCGGUAAUACGUAGGUCCCGAGCGUUGUCCGGAUUUAUUGGGCGUAAAGCGAGCGCAGGCGGUUCUUUAAGUCUGAAGUUAAAGGCAGUGGCUUAACCAUUGUACGCUUUGGAAACUGGAGGACUGGAGUGCAGAAUGGGAGAGUGGACUUCCAUGUGUAGCGGUGAAAUGCGUAGAUAUAUGGAGGAACACCGGUGGCGAAAGCGGCUCUCUGGUCUGUAACUGACGCUGAGGCUCGAAAGCGUGGGGAGCAAACAGG
rnacentral:rRNA from 1 species